GGGCGUAAGAGCUUGUAGGUGGCUUGAUAAGUUGGACGUGAAAACUCCGGGCUUAACUUGGAGAGGCCGUUCAAUACUGUCGGGCUGGAGGGUGUCAGAGGGAAGUAGAAUUCCUGGUGUAGCAGUGAAAUGCGUAGAUAUCAGGAGGAAUACCCGUGGCGCAGGCGGCUUCCUGGGGCACACCUGACACUGAGAAGCGACAGCUAGGGGAGCAAACGGGAUUAGAAACCCCGGUAGUCCUAGCCGUAAACGAUGGAUGCUAGGUGUGAGCAGAUCUAACCCUGCUCGUGCCGAAGCUAACGCGUUAAGCAUCCCGCCUGGGAACUACGAGCGCAAGCUUAAAACUCAAAGGAAUUGACGGGGACCCGCACAAGCAGCGGAGCGUGUGGUUUAAUUCGAUGCUACACGAAGAACCUCACCCAGGUUUGACAUGGCGGUGGUAGGGAAGCGAAAGCGGACCGACCCGCAAGGGAGCCGUCACAGGUGUUGCAUGGCUGUCGUCAGCUCGUGUCGUGAGAUGUUGGUUUAAGUACCCUAACGAGCGCAACCCUCGUUGCCAGUUACACGUGUCUGGCGAGACUGCCGGCCGCAAGCCGGAGGAAGGCGGGGAUGAUGUCAAGUCAGCAUGG
rnacentral:rRNA from 1 species